rnacentral:tRNA from 1 species
UUGGUAGCGCGCCUGCUUUGGGAGCAGGAUGUCGUAGGUUCAAAUCCUGCCAUCCCGA